AGGAUUCCAGCCGGGAUAAUCCCAGGAACAGAGGAGCCUGGCAGACUACCAGUCCAUAGGCUUGCAAGAGUUGGACACGAUUUAGCGACUAAACAACAACUGGUAGAAGAGUAACCAUUCCUACAGAUUAAUGACAAAUCAGUGACAACAAACAGAACACAAAGAAAAGCAGAGCAGGUGAGGAAACGUUACUGCCAAAAUUCCGGGCUGCUUCUGGAAAUUACCCAGUCAUGCAGACGCAGAACUUGGACUCCGCUCCACAAGAGGGCGCUGCAAAACCGGUUGCGCGGGAUCCAGUCCGGGCAACGCCGCUCUAGGCCGCAAGCCCCGCUUCAACUGCAUUUCCGCCGUCGCUGUGCGUGUGGAGGUGGUUCUUGCCUCUUUGUCCACGGUUCGUCGUGGAUCCCGCGCCAUCUGCACGUAUCCGGGGACAUCCGCGGACACCGGUAUCUUCCCGCACUGUCGGCUUUGUCUCCGCCGCUCUCCCGCGCCGUCUGGUCGUGGGGCACCCCGGGAGUGUCACGUGGCUGCAUUGGGUGAGAGGUGUCCUCGGGGAGAGCCGAGACUGAGACCCAGAUGGGUCUGUGUGCACAGAGGUUCCAUGGGAGGCAUCUUCAUGCCAGCCAGCCGCUAGGCCCUGGGGCCCCAGGUAAGGUGUUUGGACCUUUCUGUGGGAUUUCCAUGUUUCUCUC
rnacentral:lncRNA from 1 species